ACACAAAAAUGCACAUAUUGUGAGCUCGAUGAGUAGGGCGGGACACGUGGUAUCCUGUCUGAAUAUGGGGGGCCCAUCCUCCAAGGCUAAAUACUCCUGACUGACCGAUAGUGAACCAGUACCGUGAGGGAAAGGCGAAAAGAACCCCGGCGAGGGGAGUGAAAAAGAACCUGAAACCGUGUACGUACAAGCAGUGGGAGCACGCUUAGGCGUGUGACUGCGUACCUUUUGUAUAAUGGGUCAGCGACUUAUAUUCUGUAGCAAGGUUAACCGAAUAGGGGAGCCGAAGGGAAACCGAGUCUUAACUGGGCGUUAAGUUGCAGGGUAUAGACCCGAAACCCGGUGAUCUAGCCAUGGGCAGGUUGAAGGUUGGGUAACACUAACUGGAGGACCGAACCGACUAAUGUUGAAAAAUUAGCGGAUGACUUGUGGCUGGGGGUGAAAGGCCAAUCAAACCGGGAGAUAGCUGGUUCUCCCCGAAAGCUAUUUAGGUAGCGCCUCGUGAAUUCAUCUCCGGGGGUAGAGCACUGUUUCGGCAAGGGGGUCAUCCCGACUUACCAACCCGAUGCAAACUGCGAAUACCGGAGAAUGUUAUCACGGGAGACACACGGCGGGUGCUAACGUCCGUCGUGAAGAGGGAAACAACCCAGACCGCCAGCUAAGGUCCCAAAGUCAUGGUUAAGUGGGAAACGAUGUGGGAAGGCCCAGACAGCCAGGAUGUUGGCUUAGAAGCAGCCAUCAUUUAAAGAAAGCGUAAUAGCUCACUGGUCGAGUCGGCCUGCGCGGAAGAUGUAACGGGGCUAAACCAU
rnacentral:rRNA from 1 species